UAUAGGUAGCUAUUGAGGUGCCUGAGUAAAAAGAAGCGCCCGGGGAGCGACAGGGUUUUUGCCAUCUUUAGGGGUAAACUUUAUUGAGGGCUGACAACGCAAUAGAAGGAAGCCCAGUAGGAAUACCGACUUUGUUUGAAAUAAAGCCAGCCCGAGGAAUGGAUGCAUCUACAAGGCUAGUAACAUUGUAAGGAGUCCAUCACAAAGAAGGUAAAUAUAGCAGAGGUGGAAAACUGACAGUUAAAGUUGAAUUUUUGAAUCAGGCGCCCAAGGGCCGACUUUUUUACAACUACGCGUGCGCACCAGGUGAAGGUGCCACGCCCCCUCCUCCGGUGGCUUGUAUCCUGUUACCCUAAGUAGAUUCCUUGGUGCAAGGCAUGGUUUACCAGGACACGAAUUCGGUUCCCAGUACCUUUCCUGGCGGUCCACAACCGUUGUGUGAGUCCAGCUCCAAGACAUCCGACUCCUUUCCCCCUGAUUCCAUGGUCAUCUACAUGCAUGUGGUACGCAGACACUCAGAUCAGGUGAAAGCGCUCAGCCAUGCCUGCCGUGACCUUGCUUCCUGUCAUGAUGAUCAUGGACUAAUCCUCUGAAACUGAAGAGGCUUCAGGGUGGUAACUGGCCUGAGCGUUAGUCAGACGAGGUCAUCAGAACCGCUGGAACUGGAAUUGAGGAUGAAGGUGAACCACUAAGUGCAUACUGGAACCAAACCCAUGUCUUCUGCAAAAGCAACAAAUAUUCUCAGUCCAUCAGGCUCAGAUUGCUAACUGCCCGUUCUGCUGACUUCAGGUUGGUCUUGAACUCAGAGAACCACCUGCCUCUACCUCCCAGGUGCUGGGAUUAAAGGCGUGUGUCACCAUACAGGCUAGGGUGCACUGGAUUUUAAAGUGUCAACACACUGCAGGUCGCCUGUGAACUGGAGCUUCAGAGCCAAGGCAAAGUAGAAACCCAUGGACGAUUCAUCUCAGCAUAGACACAGAGCAGAUGUGGCCUGAAAAUUACACCCUGCUGAUGGAGUGGCCUUCUAACAUCUGUAAACACAAAUGAAAGGGCAAACAAAACAAACUGCUUUCAGCAUGAGUGCUACAGCUAUCUCUGGACAGAGCCUCAACCACUGAUUUUUUUUUUUUUUUAUUAAGAUCUUCAGUACUAAUAGUUUUUGGAAGAAGAAAAAGUUAGAGCGAAAGAACGCAAAUCAAUCUUGUUCCAGUAUUUCCGUGCACUGUGUCCUUUCUUCACCGGAUGAUAAAUGACAGCAAUUAGCGCCCUAGUAAAAUGACGAAUAUAAACAGGAUGCUUAUGGGAAAAGAACAAGGUUACCAAACUGGCUCUUUAUUUAUUACCUGCCACUAUUAUUAAAGGGCUGGGAAUUGAACCCAGGGCCUUGUGCAUGCUCGUCAAGUG